rnacentral:rRNA from 1 species
UAGGGAAUCUUCCACAAUGGACGAAAGUCUGAUGGAGCAACGCCGCGUGAGUGAAGAAGGGUUUCGGCUCGUAAAACUCUGUUGUUAAAGAAGAACAUAUCUGAGAGUAACUGUUCAGGUAUUGACGGUAUUUAACCAGAAAGCCACGGCUAACUCUGUGCCAG